AUUCAAAUGAGAACUUUGAAGAGUGAAUUGGGGAAAUGUUCCAUGUGAACAUCACUUGGACAUGGGUUAGUCGAUCCCAAGAGAUGGGGAAUCCUUGUAUCAAGGGUGGACUUUGCAUGAACAUCAAAAGAUAAUUGGGUUAAUAUUCCCGAACUAGGACAUGGUGGUGGACGACAAUGUUAAGAAAUCUGGAGAUGUCAUUGGGGGCAUGGGAAGAGUUAUCUUUUCUUUUUAACAACUUUCCCACCCUGAAAUUGAUUCGACUGGAAAUAGGGUCCAACACGUAGAAGAGCACCACAUGUCUUGCAAUGUUUGGUGCCCCCUCAACAACCAUUGAAAAUAUGGAGAACCGAGUACCAUCCAUGCCCGAUAGUACUCAUAUCUGCCUCCUUGGAUUUUUCAAUGCCC
rnacentral:ncRNA from 1 species